UGUAACGACGUGUUAAGACGAUUUAUUAUAUUAAAAACAAUAUUAAGCACAAAAUAAUUGAAAGAAAAUGUUAAUUGUCAAGAUUUAAUGUUUAAUGAUUGAUUAAAAUACACGAAAUGACAUCAAAACAAUUAAAAAAAAUAUUUUCUGCGAGAUUGAUAAAAGAAAAAUUUGUAAACACAUCAUCCAGCAACCCGAAAUGUCCGGCAAUAAUUUUUGAUCAUCAAAACCAAUAAAAAAAAUUGUCUCAAAUAAAGUUGUUGUGAAAAAUAUUUAUUAAAACUGAUAAUUAAGCAGUGCAAUGCAUGUUCAUCAAAAAACCAGCGAAGUAUCUAACGAAACAAAAAAACGAUUAUAAUCAAGAUGACUUAUUCAUUUUAUUUGUUUGAAAAAUUUUUAUUUUUCAUCUAAACAGGAAGAUUCUAGAUUGAUCCAAAAAGCCGAAAGACGACAUGUAAUUGAAAAAAAAGAAAAGGAUUCAUUACCAGCAAGAAAAAUUCGAUAAAGUCUGCAACUCUAGGAUAUUAAAGAGAUUUUCAAGCGCUUUGACUGGACUAAACUCAUAAAAAAUACAGAAAACAAGUUUAGAAAAUUGGAGUUUUUAUGGGCGAUGGUACUGGAUACGAAAGGAUGGUGAUAAGGAACGAUUUUGCAAAAACAGCUGAAAAAAUUUUAUAAAUUUUAAACCAAUUUCGAACGUAAAACAAUCAUUAUUAAAAUCAUUUCUGUUGAAUUUUAAUAGGUCAAUAAAUUUAAACGGAAUAUUAGAAAAUUAUAUUUAUUUU